rnacentral:rRNA from 1 species
AUUGAACGCUGGCGGCAUGCUUUACACAUGCCAGUCGAACGGUAACAGGCCGCAAGGUGCUGACGAGUGGCGAACGGGUGAGUAAUGCAUCGGAACGUGCCCAGUCGUGGGGGAUAACUACUCGAAAGAGUAGCUAAUACCGCAUACGAUCUAUGGAUGAAAGCGGGGGACCGUAAGGCCUCGCGCGAUUGGAGCGGCCGAUGUCAGAUUAGGUAGUUGGUGGGGUAAAGGCUCACCAAGCCAACGAUCUGUAGCUGGUCUGAGAGGACGACCAGCCACACUGGGACUGAGACACGGCCCAGGCUCCUACGGGAGGCAGCAGUGGGGAAUUUUGGACAAUGGGCGCAAGCCUGAUCCAGCAAUGCCGCGUGCAGGAAGAAGGCCUUCGGGUUGUAAACUGCUUUUGUACGGAACGAAACGGCUCUGGUUAAUACCCGGGGCUAAUGACGGUACCGUAAGAAUAAGCACCGGCUAACUACGUG